GGAAUAUUGGACAAUGGGCGAAAGCCUGAUCCAGCCAUGCCGCGUGUGUGAAGAAGGUCUUCGGAUUGUAAAGCACUUUAAGUUGGGAGGAAGGGCCAUUACCUAAUACGUGAUGGUUUUGACGUUACCGACAGAAUAAGCACCGGCUAACUCUGUGCCAGCAGCCGCGGUAAUACAGAGGGUGCAAGCGUUAAUCGGAAUUACUGGGCGUAAAGCGCGCGUAGGUGGUUUGUUAAGUUGGAUGUGAAAUCCCCGGGCUCAACCUGGGAACUGCAUUCAAAACUGACUGACUAGAGUAUGGUAGAGGGUGGUGGAAUUUCCUGUGUAGCGGUGAAAUGCGUAGAUAUAGGAAGGAACACCAGUGGCGAAGGCGACCACCUGGACUGAUACUGACACUGAGGUGCGAAAGCGUGGGGAGCAAACAGGAUUAGAUACCCUUG
rnacentral:rRNA from 1 species